rnacentral:rRNA from 1 species
AUUAACGCUGGCGGCGUGCAUAACCCAUGCAAGUCGAACGAUGAAACUUUAAUGAACCCUUCGGGGAGAAUUAAAGCGGAUUAGUGGCGAACGGGUGAGUAACGCGUGAGUAACCUGCCUUACACAAGGGGAUAGCCUUUGGAAACGAAGAAUAAUACCCUAUAAAACCAUAAAAGCACAUGCAAUUAUGGUCAAAGUGAUAGCGGUGUAAGAUGGACUUGCGUCUGAUUAGCUAGUUGGUGAGAUAAAAGCCCACCAAGGCAACGAUCAGUAGCCGGCUUGAGAGAGUGUACGGCCACAUUGGGACUGAGACACGGCCCAGACUCCUACGGGAGGCAGCAGUGGGGAAUUUUGCACAAUGGGGGAAACCCUGAUGCAGCGACGCCGCGUGAUUUAGAAGGCCUUCGGGUUGUAAAAAUCUUUUGUAUAGGAAGAAAAUGACAGUACUAUACGAAUAAGGUCCGGCUAAUUACGUG